CAAAAAUCGAUGACGAGAAGAGUAGCUUGUUAUUCUUGCACUACAGAGAGCCGGCGGUUGGUGAAAGCCGGUGUCAGGACACAAGUGAAAAUCAUCUCUGAGAUGCUAGGCUGAACUCACUCAGUAAGCCUUAGCCGGACUGCCUGCCGUUAAUCUAGGACGCGUAUGAUGGUACGUUGAUGAGAGCCGCAAUUCAUUAUUAAUUUGCGGAAGUAGGGUGGUAACGCGAGCAAGCUCGUCCCUAUA
rnacentral:ncRNA from 1 species